UGUAUUUACAUUAAGUGAUAAAAUAUUCAUAUUGUGUUGUAUUGAUAUGAAUGAUUUCAAAUAGCAGGUAGGGACACAAUAAGUCCCCACAGAGUAUUCAGUCAAUGAAGCGCUGUGAAGCGAAGUCUCGAUAAUGUCUCGCUAAGUUCUUGUUAUCUUUUACACUUGAGUAUCGUUCUGUAUUUAAUAUCGUGAUAUUCGUGUGUAUUUGUAAUACGAUUUGUUAAACAAGCUUCAAACAUAUUAUUAUAUAGAUGAGUGUAUGAAUGAAAAUGGCGGUAAGAAAUAAAAGUAACAAAAAUAUGUUUUACGCUAUAUACUAAUUGGAAAAUCAAAAAACUCGGUGAUAAAUGUUUAUGUCCAACUUGAAACAACUAUUAGCUCAAACGAGGAUCUGAACUUCAACCUUCUAUGUGAAGCAAAUCGUCAAGACAUCUUUUUUUGAGAACUUCAAAUUUAACAUUCCUAAACUCUAUGGACUGUCGGCAUUUGCUAUUUAGAUGCAGAAGUGACACAAACAACUGACACAAAUAAAGAAGACAAAUGUAGGAUUAAAUUAAAAUGCAAGAGGAAACAGAAGCCAAUAAAGAAAGCGUUUGAUAUUCAAUAAUUUCCCAAAAAAUGGAGCUGGAAUAACGAACCGCAGCCGUCAAUUGCUCGCUGCUUAGUGCUUACUAGUAAGCCUUUCGAGUGCGUAAAACAACGACGCUAUCCGGAUCAUACUGGUAUCGAGUGACGUCACAGCGCAGUACCGCACUCUCACGGCACCAGAUUACACUUUAAAUACAGAUUAAUCACAAGUGUAGUAGUACAAGAAGGUUAAAUAUAACGAAUAGUAAAUACAUCCGACUGAAUGGGCGAACGAGAAGCGCCGGCGCAGCGAGCAUUGCCCUCGCUCCACCCCGCCCCCCGCGUUGCAACGCGACUGACGGCAUUCCGCCGCGCUUCCUG